ensembl:lncRNA
AGUAGACUGAUAUUUGAAAUAUUCCUUUAUUGGGUGAGAAAAUAAGACCAUGUCAUAACUGCUUUAAGUCAUACAGAAUAGAUAUCAGAGCCUUAAACAGGCUGACUUCUGCUAAAUGGGUCAAACUGGGCAGAAAGUAUACAAACACAUAACAUCCUUACAGAAUAUGAUGUAACACUAUAGAUCAACUUACCUCAGAAUAUAUAAAGCAUAUAAACAAUUACAGCAAUAUGAUGCAACAAACACAGCAGUGCUACUAAUCCAAACAUACUCAAAGCUUCAUAGAACUGAAACAAACAUUUAUUUUUAGCUCCAUUCUGCUGCUGAUACAUACUUUAUGUUUCUGAAUAUUAAACUUGUUGCUGCCUUUCAUAGUGUGUAACUUGAAGGCCCUGAGUACUUUCUCCCAUAGCUGGACUGGCCAUCGGGCAUACCGGGCAUUUGCCCGGUGGGCCGCUGGCGAUUUUUUGUUUUUAUGGGCCGAUGGAUUUUUUUAUUUUUUUUUUAGGAAGGGUAUAUAUAAUGAAAGGUGUUGGAUUGGCCAAUUGGUCAUGAUCGACUCUGGGCUGGACCAAUUACAGCCGAGGAGGCCGGAUGCACCCUCCCCCUUGUUUAGCAAUCACGUGAUUUUCGCGCAUUGCAUGCCGGGAACUCGUGGCAAAACAAUCCAAGUACCGCAUCAAAUGCAAGCAUUUGCAGCACCGCAAAACGUUCAUACCUUCUUGUUUUUUCUUUGCCGCACAAAAAAGGAAUGUACAAAACAAAAGGAGAACAAUGCCGGUCCAUACAAAGACAGACUUGAUGAAAAGUCAAAGAAAAGAUACGAGGAAAAAAAUCAAAGGAGUGAAAGGGUCAGACCCUUACGAGCACACAGAGGGACAAAAGACGUUAGCGUGCUGCCCAACUUUCACCACGCUCAGAUUUAUAAUUAUACGGUUCUUGGAGUGAGUGCAUACACUCAUGAAGUUUAGUAACUUCAGGUCACUGCAACAAGCCCAGGU